rnacentral:lncRNA from 1 species
UAACAUCAAACAACUUCACCCAUGUUACCAACAUGGUCAUGACCAACUCUAACGUACAUCCGAACGAUGGUCUACAAGACUCUAAGAAUGCUAAAACAUAGUACAUGAUUUGAUUGGGACACGGCCCCACCGUACCCAAAAUUAGCUGUAACAUACACUUUGCUACCCAAUGACUUUUUAAUAGAUACUCCGUAGAAGUCGAGUGCAACAACCGACAGCUAGAGAAAACAUCCUAUUGGGGAAAGACAUCAUUAGGUUUAUCCAUACCUGCGGACAUGAACACAACACCCAGAAAGGAACGUCGGUAUGAAAAAAGUACUGAGUAUUUAAAACAAAUAACGUAUAUAAACCGAAGAAAUAGCUUAAGGGAUAGAAAUACUCAAGUUUAACCUUAAUACUAUAGACAAGCCACAAGGGACGCUUCACUGCUAUAACCAUGAAUCACGAAUGUAUGCAAACUUGUAUUGGGGCCCUGCAUUAAUUGUAGUAUAUAUCAGCCACUCAUUGGUGCACAUCAUUACAUUUCACUACGUACUCGGACUCAUAGAGGACUAGGUCGUACAUGUCCUCAGAAAGUCUUCACAGUACCCAGCCUCAACAGGACUUGAUGUAGUCAGCCCCAAGAGAACUCAGGAGCCUCACAUACCCCGAUCUCACAGAGGAUUCGAUCGUAUUCAAACUCAGGAGGUCUCUGUUGUUCCCGAUAUUGAAAAAUCUCGGCAUAAUCGACCUCAAAAGGACUCGGUAGCCUCACAUAGCACAUCAUCGUACCCAGCCACACAAGGGCUCGGUAAUAUCUCAUAUCGUAACUCAUCAUACCCAACUGAUGAGUGGUUGCACAAUAAAUAUCAUACCCGGCCGAGUAUAGCGCUGCAUGGUAAAGUAAAAUAGAUACUAAGUACAAUGCAAAGUCAAUUUCAAGUUAUACUAAGAUCAAACUAAGGAUGAAGCAUAUUUUUCCGACUUCGGGACAUUAUCUAGAAACACUUUAAACUUGAUAGAUAUGUUACCGAUAAGACAAUAUGAGAACAGAAACAAUGUUACUGAGCAGAACAUAGAACAAACCAUUCUUAUAACACACAAAUUCUUUUACAAGUAGAGAGACGCUUACACCAAAUCAUGCCAAGAAAGAAAGUUGUCCUUAUACCUUAUUGAAGAACUAGAAACACUUCUACGAUGGAUAGCUCUGCCUCCAGCGAAUGAAUCUCCAGAAUAAAUACGUUAAGAUAAUGGAUAUUAUUGCAAUGAUCAAAGCUGCCUCACACUAAAUCUGGCUAUAUUCACCUUCAACUUAACCUUGGACAGUUUGGGAAAUUAUAAAGAGGGUUUGAGAGCGUUUUGGGUGUUUUUGGGGGUGACACUUCCUAGAAUAAAAG